GAUGAACGCUGGCGGCGUGCCUAAUACAUGCAAGUCGAGCGAACGUACGAGAAGCUUGCUUCUCUGAUGUUAGCGGCGGACGGGUGAGUAACACGUGGAUAACCUACCUAUAAGACUGGGAUAACUUCGGGAAACCGGAGCUAAUACCGGAUAAUAUUUUGAACCGCAUGGUUCAAAAGUGAAAGACGGUCUUGCUGUCACUUAUAGAUGGAUCCGCGCUGCAUUAGCUAGUUGGUAAGGUAACGGCUUACCAAGGCAACGAUGCAUAGCCGACCUGAGAGGGGGACCGGCCCAACUGGAAGUAGGACACGGUCCAGCCUCAGAGGGGGGGCAGGAGGAGGAAACUUCCCGCAAGGGGGGAAAGCCGGACGGAGCAACGCGGGGGGGGUGAUGAAGGUUUUCGGAGCGUAAACCUUUGUUUUUGGGGAAGAAAAUUUGUUAAAGUAAAGGGGCAAUUCUGGAGGGUACCAAAAAAGAAAGCCACGGCAAACUAGGG
rnacentral:rRNA from 1 species